rnacentral:RNase_P_RNA from 1 species
CAGGUCAACCGGGCGAUCGCGGUCUCGCUGCGCGAGAUCGAGGAAAGUCCGCACUCCGCAGAGCACGGCGCCGGGGAAACCCGGGGCGGGAAGUGAGUCUUCACGACCUGCCGGAAAAGGGCCACAGAAAACAGACCGCCCGCAAGGGCAAGGGUGAAAAGGUGGUGUAAGAGACCACCGGCGUCUGCAGUAAUGCAGGCGGCCAGGUAACCCCCGCCGGGAGCAAGGCCAAGAAGGGACGAAGCUGCCAUCUGGCAGCGGGAGGUGGCUCGCCUCCCUAUGUGCCUCCCCUUCCAGGGGUGCGCCAGUCCCGGGUGGGCCGCGUAGAUAGAUGAUCGCCCAGGCGGAAUCCCUCCGCCGGACAGAAUGCGGCUUACAGGUUGAUCUGGGGC